rnacentral:lncRNA from 1 species
UAUAUCUCCUUGCUUUCUUCUAAUCAGUAUCAUAGGCUUGACCCACGUACUGAAGCAGAUCCAGGAACUUAUCUGUGAAUUCAUCAACACUCAUCUCGUCUGUCUGUCUCAACUGUUCAAAUUCAAUUACUUUCAUCUCCCUCGAACUGUCAGGAAAAGCCCACCCUGCAAACUCAUUGGCGAACUCUCCCCAUGACAUGCUGUCCAUUCUAGGCUCCACAUAAUUCUUAAACCAUUCUCUGGCUUUCUUGCAUUUAAAUGUGAAACCUGCCAUCUCAAUGGCUCUCCUAUC